rnacentral:rRNA from 1 species
GACGAACGCUGGCGGCGUGCUUAACACAUGCAAGUCGAACGGAAAGGCCCUGCUUUUGUGGGGUGCUCGAGUGGCGAACGGGUGAGUAACACGUGAGUAGCCUGCCCUUGACUUUGGGAUAACUUCAGGAAACUGGGGCUAAUACCGGAUAGGAGCUCCUGCUGCAUGGUGGGGGUUGGAAAGUUUCGGCGGUUGGGGAUGGACUCGCGGCUUAUCAGCUUGUUGGUGGGGUAGUGGCUUACCAAGGCUUUGACGGGUAGCCGGCCUGAGAGGGUGACCGGCCACAUGGGGACUGAGAUACGGCCCAGACUCCUACGGGAGGCAGCAGUGGGGAAUAUUGCACAAUGGGCGGAAGCCUGAUGCAGCAACGCCGCGUGCGGGAUGACGGCCUUCGGGUUGUAAACCGCUUUCGCCUGUGACGAAGCGUGAGUGACGGUAAUGGGUAAAGAAGCACCGGCUAACUACGUG